UACGGAGGGGGCGAGCGUUAUUCGGAAUUAUUGGGCGUAAAGGGCGCGUAGGCGGCUGGACAAGUCAAAGGUGAAAUCCCUCGGCUCAACUGAGGAACUGCCUUUGAAACUGUCUGGCUUGAGGCCGGGAGGGGGUAGCGGAAUUCCCAGUGUAGCGGUGAAAUGCGUAGAUAUUGGGAGGAACACCAGUGGCGAAGGCGGCUACCUGGACCGGUACUGACGCUGAUGCGCGAAAGCGUGGGGAGCGAACAGG
rnacentral:rRNA from 1 species